UAGGGUCAAGCGACUAAGUGCAUCUGGUGGAUGCCUUGGCGAUCACAGGCGAUGAAGGACGUGCAAGCCUGCGAAAAGCGGCGGGGAGCUGGCAAUGAAGCUUUGAUCCGCCGAUGUCCGAAUGGGGAAACCCCUCCGCAAGGAGAUCCCUGGCUGAACACAUAGGCCAGUGGAGGCGAACCGGGAGAACUGAAACAUCUAAGUACCCCGAGGAAAAGAAAUCAACCGAGAUUCCGUAAGUAGUGGCGAGCGAACGCGGAAGAGCCUGUACGUGUUAUGCAUUGAGAUAGUGGAAGGCAUUGGAAACUGCCGCCAUAGUGGGUGAUAGCCCCGUACACGAAAUUUCAUUGCAAGAACUGGGCGUACGAGAAGUAGGGCGGGACACGCGAAAUCCUGUCUGAAGAUGGGGGGACCAUCCUCCAAGGCUAAAUACUCAUCAUCGACCGAUAGUGAACCAGUACCGUGAGGGAAAGGCGAAAAGAACCCCGGGAGGGGAGUGAAAUAGAGCCUGAAACCGUGUACUUACAAACAGUCGGAGCUGCUGCGGUUCGCAAGGGGUGACUGCGUACCUUUUGUAUAAUGGGUCAGCGACUUACGUUCAGUAGCGAGCUUAACCGAAUAGGGGAGGCGUAGGGAAACCGAGUCCGAAUAGGGCGCUUUAGUUGCUGGGCGUAGACCCGAAACCGAGUGAUCUAUCCAUGGCCAGGAUGAAGGUGCGGUAACACGCACUGGAGGUCCGAACCCACUAGUGUUGCAAAACUAGGGGAUGAGCUGUGGAUAGGGGUGAAAGGCUAAACAAACUCGGAGAUAGCUGGUUCUCCCCGAAAACUAUUUAGGUAGUGCCUCAUGUAUCACUUCCGGGGGUAAAGCACUGUUAUGGCUAGGGGUCAUUGCGAUUUACCAAACCAUGGCAAACUCUGAAUACCGGAAAGUGCAAGCAUGGGAGACAGACGGUGGGUGCUAACGUCCAUCGUCAAGAGGGAAACAACCCAGACCGCCAGCUAAGGUCCCAAAUGAUCAGUUAAGUGGUAAACGAGGUGGGAAGGCCUAGACAGCCAGGAUGUUGGCUUAGAAGCAGCCAUCAUUUAAAGAAAGCGUAAUAGCUCACUGGUCGAGUCGUCCUGCGCGGAAGAUGUAACGGGGCUCAAACUGAUAACCGAAGCUGCGGAUGCACAGUUUACUGUGCGUGGUAGGGGAGCGUUCUGUAGGUCUGUGAAGGUGUGUCGUAAGGCAUGCUGGAGAUAUCAGAAGUGCGAAUGCUGACAUGAGUAGCGAUAAAGCGGGUGAAAAGCCCGCUCGCCGAAAGCCCAAGGUUUCCUACGCAACGUUCAUCGGCGUAGGGUGAGUCGGCCCCUAAGGCGAGGCUGAAAAGCGUAGUCGAUGGGAAACGGGUUAAAAUUCCCGUACUUUCGUAUAGUGCGAUGUGGGGACGGAGAAGGUUAGGUCAGCCAGGUGUUGGAUGUCCUGGUUUAAGCCGGUAGGCGGAGAGAUUAGGCAAAUCCGGUCUCUCUUAACGCCGAGACGUGAUGACGAGGCACUACGGUGCCGAAGUGACUGAUACCACGCUUCCAGGAAAAGCCACUAAGCUUCAGCUAUACGAGAACCGUACCGCAAACCGACACAGGUGGGCAGGAUGAGAAUUCUAA
rnacentral:rRNA from 1 species